rnacentral:lncRNA from 1 species
GGUGAUGAGUGUGGGUAGUUGUUAGAGAAUAACUAGUGUUGAGCGUGACCAUAUGAGAGAUCACUUAGAUUUCUAUUCGAUCGCCAGUGAUUAUCUCAAUGCUAUAGUUGUAUGACUAGUCCUUUAACUUGAGAUGGUACUACUACUUGUAGUGAGGCUGCUAGAGUUUGACUGACACAUAAAUAUAGGUCUCAAUGAGCCCUUGUAGUAGAUGUUGGCGAUAGUUAGUCUACUAUAGGAGUGGGGUGCACAUCA